UGAAAUGUAGAUAAGGUUUCCAAUAUACAUCAGAAAGUCCUAAUUUCUUGUGAAAACAAAGACCGGGACCAAUACAGAGAAGCUUCAGUAUUUGGUCUGAUGCCUAUAAUAGACUACUAGGCAGACUACACAGAGAACGGUAAGUAAUCAUUACAUACAGCAACCAGGAGGACAAGCACAAUACUUAUUCGCAACACUGUAUACAGACAGGCCUACACUUUCACACACAAUAGGGAAUGAAUAAGGGAAAAGAAAAUGCCAGCAAACAAGAUGAUUGUAUUAUUACCCGUUCUGUAGCUUCUGCCUUCAAAAGUCGAGGAUCGUUCAACACGUCAUGACUGCUCUUAAUCUUUUGCUUAACAACUGCCAGUUCCUUCUCCUCUUCCUCAGCUUCUUCUCCGAAUGACAAUAAAUUCAAUUUC
rnacentral:lncRNA from 1 species